rnacentral:rRNA from 1 species
UACGUAGGGAGCAAGCGUUGUCCGGAAUCAUUGGGCGUAAAGCGCGCGUAGGUGGCCUCAUAAGUCCGCUGUGAAAGUCAAAGGCUCAACCUUUGAAUGUCAGUGGAUACUGCCGGGCUAGAGUACGGAAGAGGCGAGUGGAAUUCCUGGUGUAGCGGUGAAAUGCGCAGAUAUCAGGAGGAACACCAAUUGCGAAGGCAGCUCGCUGGGACGUUACUGACGCUGAGACGCGAAAGCGUGGGGAGCAAACAGG